rnacentral:sRNA from 1 species
CUAGAAUGGCCUUGCUUCAGAGGCUUCACAGAAUCCCCCUCCACCACCGGAUGCUUGCCUCAACUUUGGGGCUUUCAGAAGUAGAAGCAUGUGGGGUUUCUUGGAAAUCUACUCUCUGGAGUCUCAAAACAAUUCAAAGAUGUUUAUUACAAUGUCAAAUGAUCUACUUUCCACAAACAUUUGUUGAGUGUCUUUCUCAGUGACCAGACUAACACUCCAGGAAGGCAGAUGCAGAGCAGAAGGCAGCCCUGGUAACGAGGUGUCCAAUACAGCCAAAUCUGUUCACAUUGACCUUCACAAUCUUGUCUAUGAGACGAGGCUGGCACUACAUGAGAAGAUGCAGCUGUCUCUGGAACAGGGAGGAGCAGAGAGCCGGAGAACGACUUUCUAAUAGGAAACGCAGGCUGAAGUGUUCCAGUCUCUCAUUCUAGUCUCAUUGGUGACUUCUGACCUUGCUCCACGACCAAGGGUGUGGAACCCACAGCAUGGAAAACCAACUGGGCUAGAUGAAAUAAACCCUUGAAAUCACCCUUGACCAUGUUCAAAGGGGAGGAAAAAAAAUCUCGGGAACGCAGGCGGUUCCAUGUCCACAAAGGUGUACACAGAUGGUCUGAGGCAUCCAAGCAUGGCCUAUUGCCUGAGUCUUUAUUCUGAAUAGAGCAGGACAGCCUUGGGAAAAUGUGUGCUGUUCAGCUAGCUCACUUGAAAAAAAUAAUGUGGCCCCUCCCCCUCAUCCUAUUGGUGUUCAAGGCUUGAAGAAAGCUUUAGGGAAGAGUGGCUGGUGGGUCACAUGGCCAUUCCUCAUAGUCCCUCCCCCGCCUUAUUAAUUAGAAGGUGUUGCAACCUUCCUGUUAGACUGAUUGCAUUAAGUGGCAAGCUGUCCAUUCCCACCAUUUACCGUGUGACUGUCACACUCUGAAGCAGGGCUCUAUGAGCGAGCCACUUGCUUUGGUUAGCCAGGGUGUAAUGAACAAAGUGACUCGUUACUUCUUCCUGUUUACUGCUACUUAGAGUCUUUUGCAGGAUAGCUUGCUGACUAUAGACAGAUACCCGUGAGCUCCUCCAUUCAUCUCAGCUGAGAUCUUUCUAGAAGGGUCAACAUCAGUCGCCUUCAGACAUGUGACCUAGGCGAGGUCAGCCAUGUCCACCCAGAUAGUGGAAGCCUCGAAGCCUUAGUUGCUAGAUACAGACCUACUAUUAAAUCCCCAAGUUCAGUGGCUUUAGAUAUACAGUAUUAGCAAUGAGUCCAACCCUGAGGUUAACAGAAAAUUCCUUUGUGGAGGAACAUGACCUAGAAACUCACAAACAAGCCUCAUACUGUGGGGAAUGAUGUGUCUUGCUGGCGUGGCUGUGCUAUCUGCUCUGAGGACAGUUGACAAUCUGGUGUGCAGGAGAGGAUCCACCUAUUACCUAAUAAUAAGGAAACAGAUCUGGAUGUGGUGCACAAAUGAGCAUGCAGCCAAACACUUCACAUAUACAACACACAUAAGUACAUCUUUUAAAGAAGAUACCUUUAAAGAGCAUAGCCCACUUCUGCCAAGACUUCUCUUUAUUCUUUGCCAUUUUCUCCAUGAGUCAGAGCUCUUUGAUGAUACCUGUUGAUUUUUUUUCUUCUUUGUUCUUUUAUUUGUUUGUUUGUUCGGAGACAAGAUUUAUCUGUGUAACUCUCCUUGAUGACCUGGAACUCACCUUCUGGACCAGUCCGGCCACAAACUCACGGAGAUCCACCUGCCUCUUCCCCCAAGUCCUGGGAUUCAAGGCAUGUGCCACCAUGACUGGAUCUCUCCUUUAUUCUUAAACAGUCAAACUCUGAACAUUUUUGUUGAGAGCUGACAAGCAUUCCCAGUAGGCCUUCAUCAUUAUUUUCUUUGGCUUCAUGGAAUCCUUUGUAAGGCAUACAAAUUAGCCCUGCAUGGAACUCUGGUUUUAGCCAAAUACUCUGAAUAACUCCUAGCUGGUAGGAAGCUGUCAUUGUUGGUGUUAAGAGGAAGGGAUAUCUGACCAGAGAUGUGACUCAUUACUUAGAACAUAAUUUCGAUGCUGGAUUGGGGUGCUAAUGUGUUCAGUCAGGGUUGUCUAUGCACCAGCCAGUAAUUCUAUUGUAUGAAAUUCCUCCCUCCUUCAAGUUUAAGGAGAUCACACCAGACAUAUAAAGCUAGCAUGGUAAGAAAAUUUGGACUAGAGGAACUGACAUGCAUUUUUAUUAAUCAUUGAUUGCAUUGUUGAGCAUUUACCAAGAUGAUGCUUUAUUCCCCUCUUCAUCAAAGUUAGCUUAGGUUUCAUGAGCAGCUUGAGUGCUGGAUGUGGACGAGGAAGGCACAAGGUGAAGAAUCAGUUUCACUCAAAUUUUGGGCCUAGAUAUUAGGUAAGAGACUAAUUUUGAGAGACUGAGGUAAGAGGAUUGUGAGUUUAAGGCCACCACAGAAGCCUGGGCAACACAAGUUCAAGAUGGACCUGGACUACUGUUAUGGAUUAGAUGUGAAAUGUUCCCCUAGAUGGUUCAUAUAUUGAUGGUUUGGUCCCUGGCAUAAUGUACUGAGAUAGGGAUUGGGGGAAGCAACUGGUUCAUGACCUUCUCAGUGAAUUGAUCCAUUGAUAGAUCCGUAAUUGAGUAGACCAUUGGAUGGGGAUACUGUGGAAAGUGGAGCCUAGUUGGAGGAAGUAAGUCAUUGAGGAUGUGGCUUUGUGAUGGCAUAAUGUUAUUGUAUACUUGUAAAGAUUACCCUUGUAUUAUUCAAAUGCUGAUUUCUCUGCCCCCUUACCUGGUUGCAAUCAAAGCACAGUAUUGUAAUGUUUAUUCUAAGUAUCUCCUGUCUGAAUAUUGUGUAAACAUUGCUCCCCACUUAUUCUCUGACUUGUCAAUAAAGGCAGAUCGGCCAAUGGCUGAGCAGAAGAGAGAAUAGGGCUGGACUUUGGAUAACAGCCAGGAAAAGGGUAGAAAGAGUAAGAGAGGAUUCACCAUGAGAAAAGGAUGUCAGGGGGCAGGGUGCUAUGGGAAAACAUUGGAGCAGAGAGAGCUAGACCAAUACUAAAAUGCAAGUAUCUUGGAGAUUUUGGCUAGUCGGUAGAUAGAUUAGUUUAGAGGAAUGGAAUAGAUAACUGCUCAGCUACUGUGCUGUAGUUUUAUUGAAUAAAUCUUAUAGCUUGUCUCAUUUAUCUGGGAACUAUCCAGACUAGAAAAGAGUAUUACUUUUAAAAAUGCAUUUACAGCUUUGAAGAGUAUGUCUCACCCCUGCCAUCUUCUUCUCUGCCUCUCUACUUCCUAGUCUCCGGGAGGCAAGAACCCCUGUCUGUCACGUGCUGCAGGCUGCUAUGAUGCUGUGCUCCACCGCAGCUAGCAGCCCAUGGACUGAAACCUUGAAACCAUGAGCCAAAAUAUACUUUCUUCCUUCAAGUUGAUUAGCUCAG